CCUACGGGCGGCAGCAGUGGAGAAUAUUGCGCAAUGGGCGAAAGCCUGACGCAGCGACGCCGCGUGAGGGAUGAAGGUCUUCGGAUCGUAAACCUCUGUCAGCAGGGAAGAACGGUCACUGUGCUAAUCAGCAGUGAAUUGACGGUACCUGCAAAGGAAGCACCGGCUAACUCCGUGCCAGCAGCCGCGGUAAUACGGAGGGGGCGAGCGUUAAUCGGAAUUACUGGGCGUAAAGCGCGCGUAGGCGGUAUGUCAAGUCAAGGGUGAAAUCCCCGCGCUCAACGUGGGAACUGCCUUUGAAACUGGCAGACUGGAGUGUGGGAGAGGAGAGUGGAAUUCCAGGUGUAGGAGUGAAAUCCGUAGAUAUCUGGAGGAACAUCAGUGGCGAAGGCGACUAUCUGGCACAUAACUGACGCUGAGGAGCGAAAGCGUGGGUAGCAAACAGGAUUAGAUACCCCUGUAGUC
rnacentral:rRNA from 1 species